UGCCUUAUUACUUUUUAUGGAGUAUAAGAUAUGGGGUAAACAGGACCAUGCCUAAUACAUUUCUGUUUUCCAUGACUUCCUUCAUAGUACAAAACCACAAUGCAUAAUUUUCUGGAAAAACAAAUGAAAUGACAGGAGCAGCCAGGAGUGGUAGCUCACAUCUGUAAUCCCAGAACUUUGAGAGGCCAAGGCGGGAGGAUCACUUGAACCCAGGAGUUUGAGACCAGCCUGAGCAUCAGAGCAAGACCCUAUCUUAAAAAAAUAAUAAUAAUAAAUAAAACGCAGUUAAUAAAAAGGAAAAAAACUUCAUAUGAAGUCCUAUGAUUGCACAUAACUGAAAACAAAUAUCCAACUUAUGAAAAGGAAAAGUACAACAAAAAAAAGCCCAAAACCAAAAACACAAACAAAGGAAAGCAUAACGAGGGAAUUAACCAAAAUAAAAGCUAAACUAAAAAAAUAGGAAACAAGCAAAAAUACAAGAAUUGAUUAGUAAAACCAUCCCAGGUGAUAUCAGCAGAACAAAUAGUCAAUUGACAGAAUCUUUUAAAAAAUUAUUAAUAUGCUUUAAGCCACUUAAGUUUUGAAAUACUUUAACAUCAAAAUCACCUACAAAUAUUCCUCCACUUUCAUAUGCUGAGCAAUUUCAGCUUAGAGUGACUAAGUGUUAUUUAUC
rnacentral:lncRNA from 1 species